rnacentral:piRNA from 1 species
UAUUGAUUCAAAUAGUAUAAA